GGUGAACGCUGGCGGUAGGCCUAACACAUGCAAGUCGAACGGCAGCACAGUAAGAGCUUGCUCUUACGGGUGGCGAGUGGCGGACGGGUGAGGAAUACAUCGGAAUCUACUUUUUCGUGGGGGAUAACGUAGGGAAACUUACGCUAAUACCGCAUACGACCUACGGGUGAAAGCAGGGGAUCUUCGGACCUUGCGCGAUUGAAUGAGCCGAUGUCGGAUUAGCUAGUUGGCGGGGUAAAGGCCCACCAAGGCGACGAUCCGUAGCUGGUCUGAGAGGAUGAUCAGCCACACUGGAACUGAGACACGGUCCAGACUCCUACGGGAGGCAGAAGUGGGGAAUAUUGGACAAUGGGCGCAAGCCUGAUCCAGCCAUACCGCGUGGGUGAAGAAGGCCUUCGGGUUGUAAAGCCCUUUUGUUGGGAAAGAAAAGCAGCAGGUUAAUACCCCGCUGUUCUGACGGUACCCAAAGAAUAAGCACCGGCUAACUUCGUG
rnacentral:rRNA from 1 species